rnacentral:rRNA from 1 species
UGACCUCAAAUCAGGUAGGACUACCCGCUGAACUUAAGCAUAUCAAUAAGCGGAGGAAAAGAAACUAACAAGGAUUCCCCUAGUAACUGCGAGUGAAGCGGGAAAAGCUCAAAUUUAAAAUCUGGCGGUCUUAUGGCUGUCCGAGUUGUAAUCUAGAGAAGUGUUAUCCGCGCUGGACCGUGUACAAGUCUCCUGGAAUGGAGCAUCAUAGAGGGUGAGAAUCCCGUCUUUGACAUGGACUGCCAGGGCUUUGUGAUGCGCUCUCAAAGAGUCGAGUUGUUUGGGAAUGCAGCUCAAAAUGGGUGGUAAAUUCCAUCUAAAGCUAAAUAUUGGCGAGAGACCGAUAGCGAACAAGUACCGUGAGGGAAAGAUGAAAAGAACUUUGGAAAGAGAGUUAAACAGUACGUGAAAUUGCUGAAAGGGAAACGCUUGAAGUCAGUCGCGUCAUCCAGGGAUCAACCUUGCUUUUGCUUGGUGCACUUCCUGGUUUGAUGGGUCAGCAUCAAUUUUGACUAUUGGAAAAAGGCUGAGGGAAUGUGGCAUCUUCGGAUGUGUUAUAGCCCUUGGUCGCAUACAAUGGUUGGGAUUGAGGAACUCAGCACGCCGCAAGGCCGGGUUUUAAACCACGUACGUGCUUAGGAU